rnacentral:rRNA from 1 species
CGGAUAUUCUUUUUUACAUGGAUAACUGUGGUAAUUCUAGAGCUAAUACAUGAACAAGUGUUCCAACCUCAGCUUGCUGACGGAAGGAUCGCAUUUAUUAGUACAAGACCAAUGAUUCUUAUUCACCUAGAACCCUGUUCAGUGAUUUCGGUCGCUGUCUAAGGACUAGCAGUGGGGAUCUUAGCAAUUUCGAUUGCAUUUCUUGUGAUGACUCUGAAUAACUGAGCAAAUCGUAUGGCCUCUGAGCCGACGAUGUAUCCCUCAAGCAACUGCCUUAUCAACUGUCGAUGGUAGGUUAUGCGCCUACCAUGGUUGUAACGGGUAACGGGGAAUUAGGGUUCGAUUCCGGAGAGGGAGCCUGAGAAACGGCUACCACAUCUAAGGAAGGCAGCAGGCGCGCAAAUUACACAAUCCCAGUACGGGGAUGUAGUGACGAAAAAUAACAAUACGGGACUCUAUUGAGGCCCCGUAAUUGGAAUGAGUACAAUUUAAAUCCUUUAACGAGGAUCUAUUGGAGGGCAAGUCUGGUGCCAGCAGCCGCGGUAAUUCCAGCUCCAAUAGCGUAUAUUAAAGUUGCUGCGGUUAAAAAGCUCGUAGUUGGAUUUCAGUCGAACCUAUGGGGUCCACUGAUUAAAGGGUUAGAUGGUGAUGUUAGGUUUCUUGCUUGUGUCUAAGGAUGCUAGCUUGAACCUUCAUUCCUCUUUCCUGGUGGUUACAUUCAUAGUGUUUAGACAGAAAAUUGCUCGAUAUUUGCUAUCAAUGCUCUUUACCGAGUGUUGAUUCAAGCGAUCGAGACUUUUACCUUGAAAAAAUCAGAGUGCUCAAAGCAGGCGUCCAAAACCUCGAAAGAGGUGCCUAAAAACGGUAUGGUCAACCAUCUAUAUGAUGCGUACCACUACCUUAACUUGAAUGAUCUUGCAUGGAAUAAUGGAAUAGGACCUUGGUUCUAUUUUGUUGGUCUUAAGAAUCCAAGGUAAUGAUUAAGAGGGACAGACGGGGGCAUUUGUAUUGCGGCGCUAGAGGUGAAAUUCUUGGACCGUCGCAAGACAAACUACAGCGAAAGCAUUUGCCAAGAAUGUUUUCAUUAAUCAAGAACGAAAGUUAGAGGUUCGAAGGCGAUCAGAUACCGCCCUAGUUCUAACCAUAAACGAUGCCAACCAGCGAUCAUUCUGAGUAACUAAUUUCAUGACUCGAAUGGAAGCUUCCGGGAAACCAAAGUUUUUGGGUUCCGGGGGAAGUAUGGUUGCAAAGCUGAAACUUAAAGGAAUUGACGGAAGGGCACCACCAGGAGUGGAGCUUGCGGCUUAAUUUGACUCAACACGGGAAAACUCACCCGGCCCGGACACUGAGAGGAUUGACAGAUUGAGAGCUCUUUCUUGAUUCAGUGGGUGGUGGUGCAUGGCCGUUCUUAGUUGGUGGAGUGAUUUGUCUGGUUAAUUCCGAUAACGAACGAGACUCUAGCCUACUAAAUAGACUUGCAGUUUACACUGCAGUACUCCCCCUUAGUCAACCUGUAGGUGGUAGUAUAUCUUGAUGGUUUCGGCUGUUGAGGGCUCUGCUACUAUUAGCCUGCAGAAUUGGCUAGGGUAAGGAUGCUGUAGCACUGUAAGGACUUCUUAGAGGGACAAGCGGCGCUCGCAGCCGCACGAAACAGAGCAAUAACAGGUCUGUGAUGCCCUUAGAUGUCCGGGGCCGCACGCGUGCUACACUGAAGUGGUCAUCGUGCAUACUGUUUCCUGCUCCGAAAGGAGUGGGUAACCGCUUGAACCCAUUUCGUGAUGGGGAUUGGGCAUUGUAAUUAUUGCCCAUGAACGAGGAAUUCCCAGUAAGCGUGAGUCAUUAGCUUGCGUUGAUUACG